AGUGAACACUGGCGGUAGGCCUAACACAUGCAAGUCGAACGGUAGCACAGGAGAGCUUGCUCUCUGGGUGGCGAGUGGCGGACGGGUGAGGAAUACAUCGGAAUCUACUCUGUCGUGGGGGAUAACGUAGGGAAACUUACGCUAAUACCGCAUACGACCUACGGGUGAAAGCAGGGGACCUUCGGGCCUUGCGCGAUUGAAUGAGCCGAUGUCGGAUUAGCUAGUUGGCGGGGUAAAGGCCCACCAAGGCGACGAUCCGUAGCUGGUCUGAGAGGAUGAUCAGCCAAACUGGAACUGAGACACGGUCCAGACUCCAACGGGAGGAAGCAGUGGGGAAUAUUGGACAAUGGGCGCAAGCCUGAUCCAGCCAUACCGCGUGGGUGAAGAAGGCCUUCGGGUUGUAAAGCCCUGUUGUUGGGAAAGAAAUCCAGCUGGCUAAUACCCGGUUGGGAUGACGGUACCCAAAGAAUAAGCACCGGCUAACUUCGUGCCAGCAGCCGCAGUAA
rnacentral:rRNA from 1 species